GCGUUAGUGGUGUAGUGGUCAGCACGAUCGGCGAGUAACCGAUAGGUCCAUGGUUCGAUUCCCGGUGAAGGCG
rfam:Stegodyphus mimosarum contig167789, whole genome shotgun sequence.